rnacentral:rRNA from 1 species
AAUGGCUGCAGUAAUUUGACUGUACAAAGGUAGCAUAAUCAUUAGUUUUUUAAUUAAAAGCUUGUAUGAAAGGUUGGACGAAAUAAAAUCUGUCUCUUUUUAAUAAAAUUAGAAUUUAAUUUUUAAGUUAAAAAGCUUAAAUUUUUAUAAAAGACGAGAAGACCCUAUAGAGUUUUAUAAUUUUAAUUUUAUAAUUAAUUUAGAUUUAUUUAUUUUAUUUUAUUAAAAUUAUUUUAUUGGGGUAAUAGAAAGAUUAAAUAAAUUCUUUUUAAAAUUAAUCAUUAAUGUAUGAAAUUAUGAUCCAAAAAUUUUGAAUAUAAGAUUAAAUUACCUUAGGGAUAACAGCGUAAUUUUUUUUUAGAGUUCUUAUCGAUAAAAAAGUUUGCGACCUCGAUGUUGGAUUAAAGAUUAAUUUAGGUGUAGAAGUUUAAAUUUUUGGUCUGUUCGACCAUUGAAUCUUUACAUGAUCUGAGUUCAAACCGGUGUAAGCCAGGUUGGUUUCUAUCUUUAUUAAAUUUUUAUAUUUUAGUACGAAAGGACCAAAUAUAAUGUAUAUUUUAAUACUUAACUAAUGAAUAU